rnacentral:rRNA from 1 species
UUGAACGCUGGCGGCAUGCCUUACACAUGCAAGUCGAACGGCAGCACGGGUGCUUGCACCUGGUGGCGAGUGGCGAACGGGUGAGUAAUACAUCGGAACAUGUCCUGUAGUGGGGGAUAGCCCGGCGAAAGCCGGAUUAAUACCGCAUACGAUCUACGGAUGAAAGCGGGGGACCUUCGGGCCUCGCGCUAUAGGGUUGGCCGAUGGCUGAUUAGCUAGUUGGUGGGGUAAAGGCCUACCAAGGCGACGAUCAGUAGCUGGUCUGAGAGGACGACCAGCCACACUGGGACUGAGACACGGCCCAGACUCCUACGGGAGGCAGCAGUGGGGAAUUUUGGACAAUGGGCGAAAGCCUGAUCCAGCAAUGCCGCGUGUGUGAAGAAGGCCUUCGGGUUGUAAAGCACUUUUGUCCGGAAAGAAAUCCUUGGCUCUAAUACAGUCGGGGGAUGACGGUACCGGAAGAAUAAGCACCGGCUAACUACGUGCCAGCAGCCGCGGUAAUACGUAGGGUGCGAGCGUUAAUCGGAAUUACUGGGCGUAAAGCGUGCGCAGGCGGUUUGCUAAGACCGAUGUGAAAUCCCCGGGCUCAACCUGGGAACUGCAUUGGUGACUGGCAUGCUAGAGUAUGGCAGAGGGGGGUAGAAUUCCACGUGUAGCAGUGAAAUGCGUAGAGAUGUGGAGGAAUACCGAUGGCGAAGGCAGCCCCCUGGGCCAAUACUGACGCUCAUGCACGAAAGCGUGGGGAGCAAACAGGAUUAGAUACCCUGGUAGUCCACGCCCUAAACGAUGUCAACUAGUUGUUGGGGAUUCAUUUCCUUAGUAACGUAGCUAACGCGUGAAGUUGACCGCCUGGGGAGUACGGUCGCAAGAUUAAAACUCAAAGGAAUUGACGGGGACCCGCACAAGCGGUGGAUGAUGUGGAUUAAUUCGAUGCAACGCGAAAAACCUUACCUACCCUUGACAUGGUCGGAAUCCCGCUGAGAGGUGGGAGUGCUCGAAAGAGAACCGGCGCACAGGUGCUGCAUGGCUGUCGUCAGCUCGUGUCGUGAGAUGUUGGGUUAAGUCCCGCAACGAGCGCAACCCUUGUCCUUAGUUGCUACGCAAGAGCACUCUAAGGAGACUGCCGGUGACAAACCGGAGGAAGGUGGGGAUGACGUCAAGUCCUCAUGGCCCUUAUGGGUAGGGCUUCACACGUCAUACAAUGGUCGGAACAGAGGGUUGCCAACCCGCGAGGGGGAGCUAAUCCCAGAAAACCGAUCGUAGUCCGGAUUGCACUCUGCAACUCGAGUGCAUGAAGCUGGAAUCGCUAGUAAUCGCGGAUCACGCAUGCCGCGGUGAAUACGUUCCCGGGUCUUGUACACACCGCCC